CAGAGGUGGCAAGCGUUGUUCGGAAUUACUGGGCGUAAAGGGCGCGUAGGCGGCCUUCUAAGUCAGACGUGAAAUCCCCCGGCUUAACCUGGGAACUGCGUCUGAUACUGGGAGGCUUGAGUGCGGGAGAGGGAUGCGGAAUUCCAGGUGUAGCGGUGAAAUGCGUAGAUAUCUGGAGGAACACCGGUGGCGAAGGCGGCAUCCUGGACCGACACUGACGCUGAGGCGCGAAAGCUAGGGUAGCAAACGGGAUUAGAUACCCCGGUAGUCCUAGCCCUAAACGAUGAGUGCUUGGUGUGGCGGGUAUCGAUCCCUGCCGUGCCGAAGCUAACGCAUUAAGCACUCCGCCUGGGGAGUACGGUCGCAAGGCUG
rnacentral:rRNA from 1 species